rnacentral:rRNA from 1 species
CCUGCGGAGGGAUCAUUACUGAGUUUACGCUCUACAACCCUUUGUGAACAUACCUAUAACUGUUGCUUCGGCGGGUAGGGUCUCCGCGACACUCCCGGCCUCCCGCCCCCGGGCGGGUCGGCGCCCGCCGGAGGAUAACCAAACUCUGAUGUAACGACGUUUCUUCUGAGUGGUACAAGCAAAUAAUCAAAACUUUUAACAACGGAUCUCUUGGUUCUGGCAUCGAUGAAGAACGCAGCGAAAUGCGAUAAGUAAUGUGAAUUGCAGAAUUCAGUGAAUCAUCGAAUCUUUGAACGCACAUUGCGCCCGCCAGCAUUCUGGCGGGCAUGCCUGUUCGAGCGUCAUUUCAACCCUCAAGCUCUGCUUGGUGUUGGGGCCCUACAGCUGAUGUAGGCCCUCAAAGGUAGUGGCGGACCCUCCCGGAGCCUCCUUUGCGUAGUAACUUUACGUCUCGCACUGGGAUCCGGAGGGACUCUUGCCGUAAAACCCCCAAUUCUCCAAAGGUUGACCUCGGAUCAGGUAGGAAUACCCGCUGAACUUAAGCAUAUCAAU